AACGAACGCUGGCGGCAGGCUUAACACAUGCAAGUCGAGCGCCCCGCACGGGGAGCGGCAGACGGGUGAGUAACGCGUGGGAACGUACCUUUUGGUUCGGAACAACUCCGGGAGACUGGAGCUAAUACCGGAUAAGCCCUAACGGGGAAAGAUUUAUCGCCGAAAGAUCGGCCCGCGUCUGAUUAGCUAGUUGGUGAGGUAACGGCUCACCAAGGCGACGAUCAGUAGCUGGUCUGAGAGGAUGAUCAGCCACACUGGGACUGAGACACGGCCCAGACUCCUACGGGAGGCAGCAGUGGGGAAUAUUGGACAAUGGGCGCAAGCCUGAUCCAGCCAUGCCGCGUGAGUGAUGAAGGCCUUAGGGUUGUAAAGCUCUUUUGUCCGGGAAGAUAAUGACUGUACCGGAAGAAUAAGCCCCGGCUAACUUCGUG
rnacentral:rRNA from 1 species